rnacentral:lncRNA from 1 species
AGCAUGGGAAACUCAAUAUAUAUCAAGCAUGUACUAUAAACUCCACAAUACGUCAUUUGUUACUUAUGAAAAUGUGAUAAUACAAAGAAAAGAAGGCAUGCAACGAACUAGCCUUCCCUUCUAACCAAUUAGAAUACAAUAUAUCUUCCUUUGAAAACAUAAGCAAACUAUAAGCAUACAAAAUACCAAAUUAAACACACUGAAAAAUAAAUAUAUGAAGUGGAAAUUUUCUGCAGGGAGAAAGUUAUUGGCUAGCUAGUUUAUGCGCAUUGGAAAUCCUUAGGAACAUACUUUCCACAGUUGUUGAGCAACAAACUGAGGGAAAGAGGUACGUUGAGGUUAAUUCCCAAUAAAUUGGCUUUAAUUGCAGUGCAAAGGCAAACAGCAGCAUCAAGAUCAGCAAGUCCAUGAAUUAGAGAACAACAUGGAGUCUUGGCUGGAUCACUUCCUAUACCAAGGUGCACUAAGUCAUUCAAUAAGCUGGCACACACUUUUAGCUUAAGUGUGUCCUUUGGGCACUUACCCUUUGAUGAUGGGGUGGAUGGGGUGGAUGGGGUAGAGGGGGUAGAGGGGGUAGGGGUUAGAGAACAACAAGGAGUCUUGGCUGGAUCACUUCCAAUAACAAGGUGCACCAAGUCAUUCAAUAAGUUGGCACACACUUUUAGCUUAAGUGUGUCCUUUGGGCACUUACCUUUUGAUGAUGGAGUUGAUGGGGUGGAUGGGAUAGAGGGGGUAGGGGUAGGCUUAGGGUGGGGCUUGGAAUGACCCUUUGAUGGGGUGGGUGGGCAUGGGAUGUUAGUGGAACUAACCAUAGUGAAGAAGAGAAUGCUCAAAAUGAGAAGAAGGGCAAUGGAGGAUAUUGCAAACUUAGCCAUUUUUAGAGUUAAGUAAUUAGCACUCUCAACAAUUGAAUGUGGAUAAUUAGUGAAAUGUUGUUUGGUUGGUGUUUGAAAUAAAUGAAAUGAGUGAGUAUUUAUAGAUGGAAAUGCUUGAUAUAUUUUGCAAUUUUUGACAAUUUUCUGAAACUAAUAGAGAAAAUUGGUGGCCCAUGUGGGAGUAUUGUGCUACGAAAUAGAGAAUAUCAAGACACUCUGGAGGCAAAACUUGAGAUAAGACUAUUAUGGAUUUUAAAGUUUGGAAUUUUGUGAAUUUCAUUAAUCUUUUAUUAUUUCUUCCUUGAAGAAAACAAAAUUAUCCUUCCAUUUUCACAUGGGACUUAAAUUAUUCUCCUUAAUUAUUGCAAUGGAGGAUAUUGCAAACUUAGCCAUUUCUAAGAGUUAAAUAGUUAGCACUCUCAACAAUUGAAUGUGGCUAAUUAGUGAAAUGUUGUUUGCUUGGUGUUUGAAAUGAAAGAAAUGAGUGGGUAUUUAUAGAUAGAAAUGCUUGAUAUAUUUUGCAAUUUUUGACAAUUUUCU